UACGUAGGGUGCAAGCGUUGUCCGGAAUUAUUGGGCGUAAAGAGCUCGUAGGCGGUUUUGUCGCGUCGAAUGUGAAAAACCCCGGGGGCUCAACCCCCGGGGCCGCAUUCGAUACGGGGCAGACUAGAGUUCGGUAGGGGGAGUCUGGAAUUCCUGGUGUAGCGGUGAAAAUGCGCAGAUAUCAGGAGGAACACCGGUGGCGAAAGGCGGGGACUCUGGGGCCGAUACUGACGUGAGGAGCGAAAAGCGUGGGGGAGCAAAACAGG
rnacentral:rRNA from 1 species